rnacentral:rRNA from 1 species
UACGUAGGGUGCAGGCGUUAAUCGGAAUUACUGGGCGUAAAGCGUGCGCAGGCGGUCUUUUAAGUCAGAUGUGAAAUCCCCGGGCUUAACCUGGGAACUGCGUUUGAAACUGGAAGGCUAGAGUGUGGCAGAGGGGGGUGGAAUUCCACGUGUAGCAGUGAAAUGCGUGGAGAUGUGGAGGAACACCGAUGGCGAAGGCAGCCCCCUGGGCUAACACUGACGCUCAUGCACGAAAGCGUGGGGAGCAAACAGG